rnacentral:rRNA from 1 species
UACAGAGGGUGCGAGCGUUAAUCGGAAUUACUGGGCGUAAAGCGCACGUAGGCGGAUUGUUAAGUCAGAGGUGAAAUCCCGGAGCUCAACUUCGGAACUGCCUUUGAUACUGGCAAUCUAGAGUCCGGAAGAGGUGAGUGGAAUUCCCAGUGUAGAGGUGAAAGUCGUAGAUAUUGGGAAGAACACCAGUGGCGAAGGCGGCUAACUGGUCCGGUACUGACGCUGAGGUGCGAAAGCGUGGGGAGCAAACAGG